rnacentral:miRNA from 1 species
ACGGCGACUUUUCGUAGCGA